GCCCGGAUGGCGAAAUAGGUAGACGCAAGAGACUUAAAAUCUCUCGGUGGUUACACCGUGCCGGUUCGAUUCCGGCUCCGGGCACCA
rnacentral:tRNA from 2 species